rnacentral:lncRNA from 1 species
UAUUGCAUCAAUGCAUAUUGUUAGAAUUCAUUAUUCAUGAUGCAUGACCGCGACUACUAGCUUCACAUGUGGCUUAAUUGUGUUUUAAUACGUGAUCGAAUACUUUUCUUAAAAUGUGCUAAUACAUGAUACAUGUUAUUGAACUUCUACUUUAUGAUUUAACAUGAACUUAAGUGAUUUAUUGUAGUGAGAAUCUCAGUUUCUCGGUUAAGAAGGGAUCAAUGUGCUAAACGGUGAUAUAUUUGUCUUAAUUGCAUAUCUGCAUUUUAAUAUGAUUAAUUACAUAUAUAAUUACUUGAAGUAACUCGUAUUAGACUAAAACCAAAAGUAUGCAAAAGGGUGCAAUUUGAUUGGUUGGUUGACUAGGUUGCACAAGACCAUUCUGAAAUUGUUUACACUUGAUUAUAAUGAGUAAGCAUCAGCCCCCUAUCUCAUGUCAAGCUAAAAAAACGUGGAGGAACCACAAGAAUGCAGCAAAAGUGUGUUUUAAUGUGACUUUUGCUACGUGUUCUUCAUGAUGUUUGAAUGAUUGAUGAUUCAUAGCGAUAUGAAAGAAUAUGUUUUCAAAAUGGGAGUAUGGUACUUGAUUGAUGGUCGAGUAGGCAAGGGACGCGGGAGGAACCGGCGGACCCAAUACAUGGUGGCAAAUACCUGAGGUCGAAAGACCAGUAUGGAAAACCCACGAUUAAAGAAAUGAAAUACGGCUAAUACCUGAGGUCGAAAGGCCGGUAUGGAAACCCCCGUAUUAUCUAUUGGCCAAAUAUGAUGAACAGGUUCCGAAAAUCAAAGUCUAUUGCUAUCAGUCAAGUACCACACUUCAAGGGUACCCGAUAAAGAGAAGGAUUUCAAAGAAAAGGAUCAUGAAUGAAGUUAUAUGUGAUAUUGUGCAUAUUGAAUGAAUAACGUGUUAUGUGAUAUAUUGCUAUUACAUCUGUUUCAACUUGCUGAGCUAUUAGCUCAUUAGGUUCUUAUGAUGCAGGUAAUGAUGUACAUGUUUAGAAGUUGACCUAGCCAAGAGCGGCAAGUCAGAUAUUUGUUCAUAUGCCAUGCUUCGAGCCAUUUUGUGGCCGAGCUAGAAACUCUGAUUUCAUUUUGUUAGCCGCUCUAUUAUGGUUUUUGUACAAUGUAAUUUUGUAACCCAUGA